CAUCUUUUUUGCUUUUUGUUUAAAUCCGUUCCCGGGGGUAAGCCUGAGAAACCCAAAAGAUCGAUCGGGGAGAUUCAUCGUUCAGCGACCAGUCGGCUUGCCGGUGAUUAGCGAUGUCCGCGGAUCUCGGUCCGCGACACGCUGUCGCCGCUGCAUGUCCGGCGUCGCCGUCGUGCACUUCUCCCCUAGUAGGACGUCGCGACCCGUUGGGCGUCGGCCAACGGCCCGGCAGGUUGACCGGGGCGCAGCUCUCACGAGUUCGGCGCCUCGGACCUCCGGUGUUUCCCGGCCCGACUGCCCGACGGUAAAGAUCAUUUUCAAACGGUAUUGGGCCGCAUUUUAAUGCGUCCCGGCUCCGCGACAGGCUGGCCUCGCUCGGAUUUACGGACCUGGUGCCGUUGUCGGGUGCUUGGCUGGCCGUUAAGUCGCCGGAUGUCCUCCGACUGGCUCCUUGAUUACCGGUCGGCGACGCUACUGCUUUGGGU
rnacentral:rRNA from 1 species